rnacentral:rRNA from 1 species
UACGUAGGGUGCAAGCGUUGUCCGGAAUUAUUGGGCGUAAAGGGCUCGUAGGCGGUUUGUCGCGUCGGGAGUGAAAACCAGGUGCUUAACACCUGGCUUGCUUUCGAUACGGGCAGACUAGAGGCAUGCAGGGGAGAACGGAAUUCCUGGUGUAGCGGUGAAAUGCGCAGAUAUCAGGAGGAACACCGGUGGCGAAGGCGGUUCUCUGGGCAUGUCCUGACGCCGAGGAGCGAAAGUGUGGGGAGCGAACAGG